rnacentral:rRNA from 1 species
AUACGUAGGAGGCGAGCGUUGUCCGGAUUUACUGGGCGUAAAGGGCGAGUAGGCGGCUUGAUAAGUCUCAUGUGAAAUCUCCCGGCUUAACUGGGAGGGGUCAUGGGAUACUGUCAAGCUUGAGGGCAGUAGAGGAGAGUGGAAUUCCCGGAGUAGCGGUGAUAUGCGUAGAUACCGGGAGGAACACCCGAGGCGAAGGCGACUCUCUGGGCUGCACCUGACGCUGAGGCGCGAAAGCAUGGGGAGCAAACCGGAUUAGAUACCCCAGUAGUCC